rnacentral:tRNA from 1 species
GAUACUGUGCAACUCAGUUUAAUUUGAUUAUUUAAUAUUUUACUUAUUUUUUUUGUUUAUUUUAUUAUU